GCGGGCGGGGCGGGGGCACGGGGGGCCUACGGGAGGCAGCAGUGGGGAAUMUUGCGCAAUGGGCGAAAGCCUGACGCAGCCAUGCCGCGUGARUGAUGAAGGUCUUAGGAUUGUAAAAUUCUUCACCGGWGACGAUAAUGACGUAGCCGAGACGAGUCCCSYUCCC
rnacentral:rRNA from 1 species